rnacentral:rRNA from 1 species
UACGAGGGGGGCGAGCGUUGUUCGGAAUUAUUGGGCGUAAAGGGUGCGUAGGCGGCCUGACAAGUCUGAUGUGAAAUCCCUGGGCUCAACCCAGGGCCUGCAUCGGAAACUGUCGGGCUUGAGUAUGGGAGAGGUGGGUGGAAUUUCCGGUGUAGCGGUGACAUGCGUAGAUAUCAGGAGGAACACCUGUGGCGAAAGCGGCUCACUGGACCAUAACUGACGCUGAUGCACGAAAGCUAGGGGAGCAAACAGG